AGAGUUUGAUCAUGGCUCAGGACGAACGCUGGCGGCGUGCUUUAUACAUGCAAGUCGAACGAUGAAGUUACUUCGGUAAUGGAUUAGUGGCGAACGGGUGAGGAACACGUGAAGAAUCUGCCCCUCAUUUUGGGAUAACUUCGGGAAACCGAGGCUAAUACCGAAUAUUGAAACAUAAGUGGCAUCACUGAGUUUUGAAAGUUUUUCGAUGAGGGAUGACUUCGCGGCCUAUCAGCUAGUUGGUGAGGUAACGGCUCACCAAGGCAACGACGGGUAGCCGGCCUGAGAGGGCGACCGGCCACACUGGGACUGAGACACGGCCCAGACUCCUACGGGAGGCAGCAGUGGGGAAUAUUGGGCAAUGGGCGCAAGCCUGACCCAGCGACGCCGCGUGAGGGAUGAAGGCCUUCGGGUUGUAAACCUCUUUCAGUAGGGAAGAAGCGAAAGUGACGGUACCUAAAGAAGAAGCACCGGCUAACUAUGUGCCAGCAGCCGCGGUAAUACGUAGGGUGCAAGCGUUAAUCGGAAUUACUGGGCGUAAAGCGUGCGCAGGCGGUCUUGUAAGACAGGUGUGAAAUCCCCGGGCUUAACCUGGGAACUGCACUUGUGACUGCAAGGCUUGAGUGCGGCAGAGGGAGAUGGAAUUCCGCGUGUAGCAGUGAAAUGCGCAGAUAUGAGGAGGAACACCGGUGGCGAAGGCGCCACUCUGGGCCGAGACUGACGCUGAGGAGCGAAAGCGUGGGGAGCAAACAGGAUUAGAUACCCUGGUAGUCCGCGCCGUAAACGAUGGGCACUAGCUGUGAGAGCCUUCCACGGUUCUCGCGACGCAGCAAACGCAUUAAGUGCCCCGCCUGGGGAGUACGAUCGCAAGAUUAAAACUCAAAGGAAUUGACGGGGCCCCGCACAAGCAGCGGAGCAUGCGGCUUAAUUCGACGCAACGCGAAGAACCUUACCAAGGCUUGACAUAUAGCGAAAAGUGGCAGAGAUGUCAUGUCCGCAAGGGCGCUAUACAGGUGGUGCAUGGUUGUCGUCAGCUCGUGUCGUGAGAUGUUGGGUUAAGUCCCGCAACGAGCGCAACCCACGUCGUUAGUUGCCAGCAUUCAGUUGGGCACUCUAGCGAGACCGCCGGUGAUAAACCGGAGGAAGGUGUGGAUGACGUCAAGUCAUCAUGCCCCUUACAUCCUGGGCUACACACGUACUACAAUGCUACGGACAAAGGGCAGCAAGCUCGCGAGAGUAAGCAAAUCCCAUAAACCGUGGCUCAGUUCAGAUCGUAGGCUGCAACUCGCCUACGUGAAGGAGGAAUCGCUAGUAAUCGCGGAUCAGCAUGUCGCGGUGAAUACGUUCCCGGGUCUUGUACACACCGCCCGUCACACCAUGGGAGCGGGUUUUACCAGAAGUAGCUAGCCUAACCGCAAGGAGGGCGGUUACCACGGUAGGAUUCGUGACUGGGGUGAAGUCGUAACAAGGUAACCGUA
rnacentral:rRNA from 1 species